GGAUCAUCCAACCGGGUCAUCAGGAGGGAUCAACCAACCGGGUCAUCAGGAGGGAUCAUCCAACCGGGUCAUCAGGAGGGAUCAACCAACCGGGUCAUCAGGAGGGAUCAACCAACCGGGUCAUCAGGAGGGAUCAUCCAACCAGGUCAUCAGGAGGGAUCAACCAACCAGGUCAUCAGGAGGGAUCAUCCAACCAGGUCAUCAGGAGGGAUCAUCCAACCGGGUCAUCAGGAGGGAUCAACCAACCAGGUCAUCAGGAGGGAUCAACCAACCGGGUCAUCAGGAGGGAUCAACCAACCGGGUCAUCAGGAGGGAUCAUCCAACCGGGUCAUCAGGAGGGAUCAUCCAACCAGGUCAUCAGGAGGGAUCAACCAACCAGGUCAUCAGGAGGGAUCAGCCAACCGGGUAAUCAGGAGGGAUCAUCCAACCAGGUCAUCAGGAGGGAUCAGCCAACCGGGUAAUCAGGAGGGAUCAUCCAACCAGGUCAUCAGGAGGGAUCAACCAACCGGGUCAUCAGGAGGGAUCAGCCAACCAGGUCAACCAAUGAAUUAUACUUGUGAAGAAGAAAAUGUACUACUUCGUUUACAUUUAGAGGAUGUUCUCAUCCAGAGCGACUUACGAUGGAGAUCUCCAUGGUGCUGCCCAUGCACCUCACAGACGCCAUAAUGAGGCAGAGAUGUCUAUCCAAGACAAUGGAACGUGCACCUCACAGACGCCAUAAUGAGGCAGAGAUGUCUAUCCAAGUCAAUGAAACGUGCACCUCACAGACGCCAUAAUGAGGCAGAGAUGUCUAUCCAAGACAAUGGAACGUGCACCUCACAGACGCCAUAAUGAGGCAGAGAUGUCUAUCCAAGACAAUGGAACGUGCACCUCACAGACGCCAUAAUGAGGCAGAGAUGUCUAUCCAAGUCAAUGAAACGUGCACCUCACAGACGCCAUAAUGAGGCAGAGAUGUCUAUCCAAGUCAAUGAAACGUGCACCUCACAGACGCCAUAAUGAGACAGAGAUGUCUAUCCAAGACAAUGGAACGUGCACCUCACAGACGCCAUAAUGAGGCAGAGAUGUCUAUCCAAGACAAUGGAACGUGCACCUCACAGACGCCAUAAUGAGGCAGAGAUGACUAUCCAAGUCAAUGGAACGUGCACCUCACAGACGCCAUAAUGAGGCAGAGAUGUCUAUCCAAGUCAAUGGAACGUGCACCUCACAGACGCCAUAAUGAGACAGAGAUGUCUAUCCAAGUCAAUGGAACAUACUUGGGGUGGCAGGGUAGCCUAGUGGUUAGAGUGUAGAGGAGAUAGGUAGCCUAGUGGUUAGAGUGUAGAGGAGGCAGGGUAGCCUAGUGGUUAGAGUGUAGAGGCGGCAGGGUAGCAUAGUGGUUAGAGUGUAGAGGAGAUAGGUAGCCUAGUGGUUAGAGUGUAGAGGAGGUAGGGUAGCCUAGUGGUUAGAGUAGAGGGGUGGCAGGGUAGCCUAGUGGUUAGAGUAUAGAGGAGAUAGGUAGCCUAGUGGUUAGAGUGUAGAGGAGAUAGGUAGCCUAGUGGUUAGAGUGUAGAGGAGGCAGGGUAGCCUAGUGGUUAGAGUGUAGAGGAGGCAGGGUAGCCUAGUGGUUAGAGUGUAGAGGAGGCAGGGUAGCCUAGUGGUUAGAGUGUAGAGGCGGCAGGGUAGCCUAGUGGUUAGAGUGGAGGGGUGGCAGGGUAGCCUAGUGGUUAGAGUGUAGAGGAGAUAGGUAGCCUAGUGGUUAGAGUGUAGAGGAGAUAGGUAGCCUAGUGGUUAGAGUGUAGAGGAGGCAGGGUAGCCUAGUGGUUAGAGUGUAGAGGCAGCAGGGUAGCCUAGUGGUUAGAGUGUAGAGGCGGCAGGGUAGCCUAGUGGUUAGAGUGUAGAGGCGGCAGGGUAGCCUAGUGGUUAGAGUGUAGAGGCGGCAGGGUAGCCUAGUGGUUAGAGUGUAGAGGCGGCAGGGUAGCCUAGUGGUUAGAGUGUAGAGGCGGUAGGGUAGCCUAGUGGUUAGAGUGUAGAGGGGGCAGGGUAGCCUAGUGGUUAGAGUGUAGAGGCGGCAGGGUAGCCUAGUGGUUAGAGUGAAGGGGUGGCAGGGUAGCCUAGUGGUUAGAGUGUAGAGGAGGCAGGGUAGCCUAGUGGUUAGAGUGAAGGGGUGGCAGGGUAGCCUAGUGGUUAGAGAGUUGGACUAGUAACUGAAAAGGUUGCUAGAUCAAAUCCCCGAGCUGACAAGGUAAAAAUCUGUAAUUCUGCCCCCUGAACUGUCAGUUAACCCACUGUUCCUAGGCGGUCAUUGAAAAUAAGAAUUUGUUCUUAACUGACUUGCCUAGUUAAAUAAAUACUCUCACAGAUGCCAUAAUGAGACAGAGAUGUCAAUGGAACAUAUUUGGAGAGGCAGGUAGCCCAGUUGUGAGAGAGUUGGACUAGUAACCAAAAGGUUGCUAUAUCAAAUCCCCGUGUUGACAAAUUAACAAUCUGUUGUUCUACCCCUGAACAAGGCAGUUAACGCACUGUUCCUAGGCUGUCAUUGAAAUCCCAAGGCAUUCCUAGUUGAUUGCUAUUGACCGGUUGAUCUCCCAAGGCAUUCCUAGUCGAUUGCUAUUGACCGGUUGAGCUCCCAAGGCAUUCCUAGUCGAUUGCUAUUGACCGGUUGAUCUCCUAAGGCAUUCCUAGUCGAUUGCUAUUGACCGGUUGAUCUCCUAAGGCAUUCCUAGUUGAUUGCUAUUGACCGGUUGAUCUCCUAAGGCAUUCCUAGUUGAUUGCUAUUGACCGGUUGAUCUCCUAAGGCAUUCCUAGUUGAUUGCUAUUGACCGGUUGAUCUCCCAAGGCAUUCCUAGUUGAUUGCUAUUGACCGGUUGAUCUCCUAAGGCAUUCCUAGUCGAUUGUCAAACAGUUCUGUCAAACCCAAAGCCUCUAGCGGAACCGGGUACGAGAUUGUUCAGAAACUGUUCAUAUGUCUGAAGGUGCAAACUGUUCAUAUGUCUGAAGGUACAAACUGUUCAUAUGUCUGAAGGUACAAACUGUUCAUGUCUGAAGGUACAAACUGUUCAUGUCUGAAGGUACAAACUGUUCAUAUGUCUGAAGGUACAAACUGUUCAUAUGUCUGAAAGUACAAACUGUUCAUGUCUGAAGGUACAAACUGUUCAUAUGUCUGAAGGUACAAACUGUUCAUGUCUGAAGGUACAAACUGUUCAUAUGUCUGAAGGUACAAACUGUUCAUAUGUCUGAAGGUACAAACUGUUCAUAUGUCUGAAGGUACAAACUGUUCAUAUGUCUGAAGGUACAAACUGUUCAUAUGUCUGAAGGUACAAACUGUUCAUAUGUCUGAAGGUGCAAACUGUUCAUAUGUCUGAAGGUACAAACUGUUCAUAUGUCUGAAGGUACAAACUGUUCAUGUCUGAAGGUACAAACUCUGCCUUCCCGGUGGGGCCUGGAAUUCAAAUCAAGUGUCAUGGAAGGCUCAGAUGAUCAUAUCUGCAGUAACGUAGCAGAUGUAAAAAAUAAAGCUAAAUCAAAGUUGA